AUUCUCUGUGCAUUCAAAACGUGGUCGAUUGCCGUUUAAGACCAGCCCAGACACAAUCAUUGUCACUAUUGGACAUCAAUUUGAGGAAUGGAGUGAUGGGAAAUUCAGGUCAGCAGAUGGAGAAGUAGCACUGAAAGCAAAUCUUCACAUAGAUCAAGCAUUAUUAUCCUUGGAGCUCAAGUGGUCAUUCACUAACUUGAUUGAUGACGCCUAUAAAACACAAAAGAGAAUUACCCUAUCUGAUCAGGUUUUAAUUUUAGUUAUAUUAAUCUUAGUAUACAGAAUGUUUCUGUUUAUGUGCACAAAUAAUUAAAUAAUCUAAAAAAAUUAAGUAAUAAUUAAAUUAUCUUCCUUUGGAACGUACGGCGCCGAAAAAUUUCGUUUCAUUUUUUCUAUUUUUUCUUUCUUCUUCCUGUUUUUAUUCCUUAAUUUUUUGCUGUUAUGUCAUGUAUAUAGUGUGUGGUUUUGUAAAGGAAAUGAUGUACCUUAAAACUGGGAUUUGUAAGACAUUAAGUGCUAAAGGUUGUGGCGUGUGGUUAUUUUGCUUC